CCUUGCAAGGGCAAAGGGCUGUUGGUUGUCAAGAUUUGAGUGUGAGUGGUCAGAUGGUGCAAGAGGUUUGACUUAACUAGAUUUUGUGUGUGGUGCUAGGGGCAAGGAUUGGGGUGCGCUUUCAGCUACAUGUUGGGAUAGAGCAAGAACACUCCAUGCAUAAUUGAUGGUGCCUUUUUUUUUGCACAUACCAACAAUUAGGAUAUCAUGGUUAGUCGACCCAGUUUCAUCCUAGAGAAGGAAAAGGAUAAAGGACAUGCUCUGGCCUUAUAGAAUCUGGUAUCCAACCAAGGUAUUUUACCUAUCCCGAUAAGAAGCCCGACGUGGAAAAUUGGUAUUGUCUGUAACCUCAAUUGUUAAAAAUUGAGCCAGCGUACGAAGACUGGAGAGCCUAAGCAAGAGGACCAAGAGCAGGAACCGUGUUUCGCUACAUCAUAUCUUGCUUGAUGGAACUUUGCAUGCACACUGACCAUGGAACUCACUCAUGAUAACCCAUGGUGGAAGUUAAAUGUGUGCAUAUGAUGUCUAUAUACAUCGAAAGCUCCAGGGUCCACCUUCAGUCAUUAUCUUUUCCCUGAAUUUCAGUUUCUGGACAUCUUCAAAAAGAAUUGGCAUCGAGAUGGCUUGUGCCGUGAUCUACGACUUGCUGCCUGCUCCCAUUGGUCAAGUGCUUAUGUGGAAGUGCCAUACUCACAUGGCACCUGAAGAUGCUGCACCACAUCUAGAGAUAAGCUAUGCCCAUUUUCAAGCGACGAAAGUGGUAGCAGGGAACAACCGAGUGAGGGCGGAAGCUGGAUUGUAGUUCUCACCGCUACCUAGAAGAUUGCUGAUGGUCCCUCAAGCAAGGACUGGAGAGGUGGAAGUGCUGCUAGCUUCAACAUCAGUCUCAGCAGGACUAUAGCUGCAAAGAUUAGUAUAAUCCAGUUUGUCUUUUCUUUUAUUGUUGUACAGCAUAAUUUGCAAUCUGGCUACUUCAGGGUACAUAGGCACUCUUUAAAGGUUCUAAUAGGAACCAGGCAAGUUAUUUUAGUCUGGUUGGAAGGUGAGAAUAACUCUUGCUCGUGACUCAGUUUUGUACAUACACAAUUAAUUUAUCUUAAACAAGACAUAAUUAUUGGUUUUGAUUUGAGGAUGUUAAAGACAUUGGGUGCUUUAUAUUCAGAUUCAACCCAGCAAUCCAUCUUUAUGUUGGAUUCCUAAACCAAAUCAGGGGAUAAUUACCUGAGAAAAUGUGCAAAAUCACACGGACUACUAUAGUUCCUCGUGGAUAUUAAAGAGGAAAAUUGGGACCUAAUGUUGAUAGUGGUUAUUGGUGAUGAGGGAAAUGAAAGAAGGCUGCAAUGGAGUUUGUAGUAGGUAUCCCAAUCAUUGCCUAUACAGAUUGAUGUGGGUGUGCAGCUUGGUCAAAAUAUUUUAUUCCCUUAAUGAAGCAAGUUUCCUCGAAAAAUAAUGAUUCAUCGCUUUGCCUCUUAUGGUACAUUUUUUAAUAUUUGGAUAUUGUAUGAUCAGAGUGAAACAGACCUGCAGUUCAGUUAUAGCUACUCUGUAAAAUGUAAUGUGUGUGUUAAAAUGUUUAGACUUCAGCUUGGGUAAGAUCUAGCAAUUUAUUGCCUCUCAAAUGUUUAUGGUCUUGAAGUACUUAUCUAAUUGUGUUUGAACACUACAAGAAUGUCACAUAGUUAUGUCUUUUCAUUCAUUAGUCUUCAACCAUCGAGCAAAAAUUCUAACUUUGCUAGGCCUUCUAGGGCGAGCUUACCUCUAACUUCAUGUCCUAUCAAUCAUCUUGGUGGAGUGAAUCUGCAAGGCACCUAUUAUGAAAUAUAUCGAAUUAUAUGAAUUAUCAGCAGCAAAAAAUGAUACGUUACAUGUAGGCUUUCUUGGUGAAUACCUUAGUUUAACUGAUGUGUUACUUCUUAUAAUUUUCAGUAGCAAGUGUGUCACGUAUUUACAUAUGCCAUUAUGAGUCAUCUUUUCCGUUUGACUUCUUACUUUUUAUGAAUCUUCUACUAUGUGUCUGCAUUUAAGACUGGCCAUAACACUUACAUGUGUGCAGUUAUGCCAUUCUGAUACCGCCUUUUCUUUGCUUAAUGCUCCAGUGCAUUGUCUCUGUAUUGCAGAAAUAGUUUGAUUGUUAUAGGCUAAUUCAAUAUGGUCUGACCUAACGGUUGACCAUAAUUAAUUUAUCUCAAUCCUUUGUUUCUAGGUAGAUAUAAAUCACGACAUUGAUCAUGUGAUGAGUUCAUGUUUGUCUUGCAUGAGAAGAACAAGCUGAUUGUUGCAUUAUAAACAUAUAAUUUAUUUGCCUUCUCUAAAAUAUUUACUUUGCUUUGUAAAGUUUCAGUCCAGAAAUAUAACAGUUAAUAUGUCAGUAAUAGCAGCCUCUGAUGUACAUAAUAAAAUCCAAUAUUUGCCAGAUUUUAGUUAUCCUGUUUUAUAGUUCUGUCAUACUCUUGAUUAUGUGUUGUCCAUUGCUUUAACUUGUUUCUCAUAAAAGAUUAUUCAGCCUUCUGUGGAAACUGCAGUGGAUGCUGCUACAACCUCCAUUUGUCUUAGGACCAGCACUGCUGCCAAGAAACCAAAGCAGUGGCUGGUCUGCAUGCAUAAGCAGGCCAUUUUCUGUACAACUUUAUCUUCAUGGAUGGUUCUUGUUACGGGCUUGGCUCACAGGCCCAGGUGAAGAGCUUAUCAGUAUCUUAAUAAUGCUCGCUACCUCAACAUCUGCUGGUAUUCAGCGUGCCUUCCUUACUACAUCGUUGAGAUGAUCUCACCACCUUGACGCAUGCUACUACUUCAUGUGGGUUCUCUGCUAAGCUGUCAAGCUGAUGUGAUGCCUUUACUACCUGCCUAUAAACUGCUGUUGGACUUGUAUUCUCUGCUGCAGCAGCGACCUGAUGUCUAGCUGUGUAAAUAGCUAUGUAGAAAGCUAUUUUGUGUAAGUGCACGCUGCUCUAUAAGCAUGCUUUUAUAAGUAGAUCCUUUGUGACCAUCGUUCAGCUAGAUCCUAUGCCCAGAAUAUGGGCUGAACUUCAUCUGCACUUUGUCAACUUCUAUGGAUGGCAUGAAUUAUUGCCCAGGAAGACUUUGUGUCGAUAUGCU